GAUGAACGCUGGCGGCGUGCCUAAUACAUGCAAGUCGAGCGAAUGGAUUAAGAGCUUGCUCUUAUGAAGUUAGCGGCGGACGGGUGAGUAACACGUGGGUAACCUGCCCAUAAGACUGGGGUAACUCCGGGAAACCGGGGCUAAUACCGGAUAACAUUUUGAACCGCAUGGUCCGAAAUUGAAAGGCGGCUUCGGCUGUCACUUAUGGAUGGACCCGCGUCGCAUUAGCUAGUUGGUGAGGUAACGGCUCACCAAGGCAACGAUGCGUAGCCGACCGGGGGGGGUGAUCGGCCACACUGGGACUGAGACACGGCCCAGACUCCUACGGGAGGCAGCAGGAGGGAAUCUUCCGCAAUGGACGAAAGUCUGACGGAGCAACGCCGCGUGAGUGGUGAAGGCUUUCGGGUCGUAAAACUCUGUUGUUAGGGAAGAACAAGUGCUAGUUGAAUAAGCUGGCACCUUGACGGUACCUAACCAGAAAGCCACGGCUAACUACGUGCCAGCCGCCGCAGUAA
rnacentral:rRNA from 1 species